AGCUGAUGAUGAGAACCUUUGCCAACCUGACACGUGAUGAAAAAAUGCCCAUUACGGAUCUGGCUUCUGAAGC